GGGAACAUACCCUUUUCUACGGAAUAGCUCUGGGAAACUGGAAUUAAUACCGUAUACGCCCUACGGGGGAAAGAUUUAUCGGGGAAGGAUUGGCCCGCGUUGGGUUAGCUAGUUGGUGGGGUAAAGGCCUACCAAGGCGACGAUCCAUAGCUGGUCUGAGAGGAUGAUCAGCCACAUUGGGACUGAGACACGGCCCAAACUCCUACGGGAGGCAGCAGUGGGGAAUAUUGGACAAUGGGCGCAAGCCUGAUCCAGCCAUGCCGCGUGAGUGAUGAAGGCCUUAGGGUUGUAAAGCUCUUUCACCGAUGAAGAUAAUGACGGUAGUCGGAGAAGAAGCCCCGGCUAACUUCGUGCCAGCAGCCGCGGUAAUACGAAGGGGGCUAGCGUUGUUCGGAAUUACUGGGCGUAAAGCGCACGUAGGCGGAUAUUUAAGUCAGGGGUGAAAUCCCAGAGCUCAACUCUGGAACUGCCUUUGAUACUGGGUAUCUUGAGUAUGGAAGAGGUAAGUGGAAUUGCGAGU
rnacentral:rRNA from 1 species